CUACGGGAUGCUCCAGUGGGGAAUAUUGCACAAUGGGCGCAAGCCUGAUGCAGCCAUGCCGCGUGUAUGAAGAAGGCCUUCGGGUUGUAAAGUACUUUCAGCGGGGAGGAAGGGAGUAAAGUUAAUACCUUUGCUCAUUGACGUUACCCGCAGAAGAAGCACCGGCUAACUCCGUGCCAGCAGCCGCGGUAAUACGGAGGGUGCAAGCGUUAAUCGGAAUUACUGGGCGUAAAGCGCACGCAGGCGGUUUGUUAAGUCAGAUGUGAAAUCCCCGGGCUCAACCUGGGAACUGCAUCUGAUACUGGCAAGCUUGAGUGUGGUAGAGGGGGGUAGAAUUCCAGGUGUAGCGGUGAAAUGCGUAGAGAUCUGGAGGAAUACCGGUGGCGAAGGCGGCCCCCUGGACGAAGACUGACGCUCAGGUGCGAAAGCGUGGGGAGCAAACAGGAUUAGAUACCCUUGUAGUC
rnacentral:rRNA from 1 species